rnacentral:rRNA from 1 species
UACGUAGGGUGCAAGCGUUGUCCGGAAUUAUUGGGCGUAAAGAGCUCGUAGGCGGCCUGUCACGUCGACUGUGAAAACCCGAGGCUCAACCUCGGGCCUGCAGUCGAUACGGGCAGGCUAGAGUUCGGUAGGGGAGACUGGAAUUCCUGGUGUAGCGGUGAAAUGCGCAGAUAUCAGGAGGAACACCAAUGGCGAAGGCAGCUCGCUGGGACGGUACUGACGCUGAGACGCGAAAGCGUGGGGAGCAAACAGG